rnacentral:rRNA from 1 species
GGUGAGUAACACGUGGGUAAUCUACCUGUAAGACGGGGAUAACUCCGGGAAACCGGGGCUAAUACCGGAUAACAAGAGGAAAUGCAUAUUUCCUUUUUGAAAGUCGGCAUCUCGCUGACACUUACAGAUGAGCCCGCGGCGCAUUAGCUAGUUGGUGAGGUAAUGGCUCACCAAGGCGACGAUGCGUAGCCGACCUGAGAGGGUGAUCGGCCACACUGGGACUGAGACACGGCCCAGACUCCUACGGGAGGCAGCAGUAGGGAAUCUUCGGCAAUGGGCGAAAGCCUGACCGAGCAACGCCGCGUGAGCGAUGAAGGCCUUCGGGUCGUAAAGCUCUGUUGUUAGAGAAGAACAAGUACGAGAGUAACUGCUCGUACCUUGACGG